UAGGUGGCGAGCGUUAUCCGGAAUUACUGGGUGUAAAGGGUGUGUAGGCGGGAGUGCAAGUCAGGCGUGAAAUCUACGGGCUCAACCCGUAAAUUGCGCUUGAAACUGUGCUUCUUGAGUAUGGGAGAGGUAAACGGAAUUCCUGGUGUAGUAGUGAAAUGCGUAGAUAUCAGGAGGAACACCGGUGGCGAAGGCGGUUUACUGGACCACAACUGACGCUGAGACACGAAAGCGUGGGGAGCAAA
rnacentral:rRNA from 1 species